AAUAUUGCGCAAUGGGGGGAACCCUGACGCAGCAACGCCGCGUGAGCGAUGAAGGCCUUCGGGUCGUAACGCUCUGUCUAGAGGGAUGAUAGUGACAGUACCUCUGGAGGAAGCCCCGGCUAACCACGUGCCAGCAGCCGCGGUAAUACGUAGGGGGCAAGCGUUGUCCGGGAUUAUUGGGCGUAAAGGGUGCGUAGGCGGCCUUUUAAGUCAGAUGUGAAAGACCACGGCUUAACCGUGGGGUUGCAUUUGAAACUGGAGGGCUUGAGUAUCGGAGAGGGUAGUGGAAUUCCCAGUGUAGCGGUGGAAUGCGUAGAUAUUGGGAGGAACACCAGUGGCAAAGGCGACUACCUGGACGAAAACUGACGCUGAGGCACGAAAGCUAGGGGAGCAAAC
rnacentral:rRNA from 1 species